AAUACGAUACGCUAAGGCGUCGAAGUAGUGUAUGUCAUACUUCCAAGAAAAGCUUGCACUGUCAUAGAUAAAAAACGCCUGUACCAUAACCGACACAGGUGGGUAGGUAGAGUAUACUAAGGGGCGCGAGAUAACUCUCUCUAAGGAACUCGGCAAAAUAACUCCGUAACUUCGGGAGAAGGAGUGCCUUAUUCGUAAGGUUGCAAUAACAAGAUCCAAGCAACUGUUUAUCAAAAACACAGGUCUCCGCUAAGUCGUAAGACGAUGUAUGGGGGCUGACGCCUGCCCAGUGCCAGAAGGUUAAAGAAGUUGGUUAGCAAUUGCGAAGCUGAUAACUGAAGCCCUGGUGAACGGCGGCCGUAACAAUAACGGUCCUAAGGUAGCGAAAUUCCUUGUCGGGUAAGUUCCGACCCGCACGAAAGGCGUAAUGAUUUGGAUACUGUCUCGGAGAGGGGCUCGGUGAAAUAGACUUGUCUGUGAAGAUGCGGACUACCUGCACCAGGACAGAAAGACCCUAUGAAGCUUUACUGUAACUUGAAAUUGAAAUUGGACUUUAUUCGCGCAGUAUAGGUGGGAGGCGUUGAUUAUAAUCUUGUGGGAUUAUUGGAGCCAUCAGUGAGAUACCACUCUUGUAAUGUUAGAUUUCUAACUUUGAAUCAUUAUCUGGUCAAAGAACAGUUUCAGGCGGGCAGUUUGACUGGGGCGGUCGCCUCCUAAACGGUAACGGAGGCGUACAAAGGUUUCCUCUGAACGGUUAGAAAUCGUAUCUAGAGUGUAAAGGCAUAAGGAAGCUUGACUGUGAGACCUACAAGUCGAGCAGGGACGAAAGUCGGUCUUAGUGAUCUGACGGUACUGAGUGGAAAGGCCGUCACUCAACGGAUAAAAGUUACUCUAGGAUAACAGGCUGAUCUCCCCCAAGAGUUCACAUCGACGGGGAGGUUUGGCACCUCGAUGUCGGCUCAUCGCAUCCUGGGACGGUAGUACGUCCCAAGGGUUGGGCUGUUCGCCCAUGAAAGCGGUACGCGAGCUGGGUUCAGAACGUCGUGAGACAGUUCGGUCCAUAUCCGGUGUAGGCGUUAGAAUAUUGAGAGGAGCCUUCUUUAGUACGAGAGGACCGAGAAGGACAUACCUCUGGUGUACCAGUUAUCGUGCCAACGGUAACGCUGGGUAGCUAUGUAUGGAGUGGAUAACCGCUGAAAGCAUCUAAGUGGGAAGCCCACCUCAAGAUAAGUAUUC
rnacentral:rRNA from 1 species